AAUUCGGCUGAAAAAGUCAUGAACAUAAAAGUUUGAGAACUCAUCAAGACAUACAACUUUUAUUUUGGUCAUUUCUUUAUCCGAAAAAGUGAUAGUAACAUUGUUAACAAAAUUUAUAUCUCUCUUAUAGUUUAUAAAACCAAAUGAGAGAUAUGUAAAUUUUGUGAACAAUGUUACUAUCACUUUAUCGGAUGAAGAAAUGACUAAAAUAAAAGUUAUAGAUCUUGAUGAGUUAUACAACUUUGUUGUUGAUGACUUUUUCAGUUGAAAUC
rnacentral:pre_miRNA from 1 species